rnacentral:rRNA from 1 species
GAACGCGAAGAACCUUACCAGGUCUUGACAUCCUCUGACAACCCAAGAGAUUGGGCUUUCCCUUCGGGGACAGAGAGACAGGUGGUGCAUGGUUGUCGUCAGCUCGUGUCGUGAGAUGUUGGGUUAAGUCCCGCAACGAGCGCAACCCCUGUGGUUAGUUGCCAUCAUUUAGUUGGGCACUCUAAGCAGACUGCCGUGGAUAACACGGAGGAAGGUGGGGACGACGUCAAAUCAUCAUGCCCCUUAUGACCUGGGCUACACACGUGCUACAAUGGAUGGUACAACGAGCAGCAAGACCGCGAGGUCAAGCGAAUCUCUUAAAGCCAUUCUCAGUUCGGAUUGCAGGCUGCAACUCGCCUGCAUGAAGCCGGAAUCGCUAGUAAUCGCGGAUCAGCACGCCGCGGUGAAUACGUUCCCGGGUCUUGUACACACCG